UCUGUCCACUGGAAGGGUAUCGAAGAGGUAGGGAAAUCAAGUCCAGGGCACUCAUUUGGAAGAUCCAGAUUCUUUUUCUUAUUCUGCCAUAGACAAUUUGUGUGAGUCUCUCUGUGCUCUCUGGAAAUAGCACUAUGCUACCUCACAAGGAAUUGCCAAGGUACAUGCCUUAAAGAGCACGAAGUACUUAAAUAUUCUGGUUAUGAUGGCUGCAUGAAUAGCUUGAUAGAUUUUUCUACCCACCUGUGUGAUCAGAUAUUUGUUCUUAUUAUUUUCACUAUUGGGAAAGUAUACAGACAUUUACAAAGUUAUUCCUCUGCCUGCUGUGUCAGAAAACAACAGGGCAUCCACACUGAUUGGAGGCUGGAUCACAUUUAUGCGUAGCUGAAACCGAUUCCAGCAGGGCAUCAGCGCUGGGGAGACCAACAGUGGACCCAGAACUUCAGGAUGAAGAAUGACACCUUCCUGGAGCUCUGCAAGUGGCUCG